AGAAGUGAAAACGGAGCUCGGUGCUGGUCGCCCGCAGCUCCGCCAACCCCAGGGUCCCCAAGCGCGCGGUGCCCAGCGAACCCCGCGAAGGCUCCUUCGGUGCAGCGGGUGGACAGGCCAGAGCUCCCGCCCCAGGGGGCUUCCUGCUUCUGCCCCCCCCCCCCCCGACUCCGGGGAUUGAGAGAUCUCGAUCUGGGGGCACAGGAGGGACAGAGGGACCUCCCUGGGCGCUCUCGGCAGCUUCCUCGGGUCGACUUUUAUGGAAACCCAGAGACACUUCAGAACAGGCUCGAACUGGUUUCAUGGAGGAUUGAGAAACCUGACUCCCUACCCCUGGCUACAAAGCUGUGCUGGCUCUGCUUGCAACAUUGUUGCAAAGUAGCUAUGGACUCGCUUUCCGGAAUCCUUCCAAGGGGACAGAAGUCCCCGGGCUGGCCACCUCCCCAGCUCGUCUCAAGAGUUCCUGAAAAAAUGCUCCCAGAUGGAGGGACAAAGCACUGAGAACGUGUGUCCUUCAGGUCUGGAGCUUCUUCUGCACCCAAGAGGAGUUGAGGCAAGUUUUAUAAAUAUGAAAUCAGCUGCAAAAAUAAACAGGUCCUCUGAGUUAAUAAGAGGAAAUUGAAUAUAUUAUAAAUGUCAAUCAGCCAGGCACGGUGGCCCACGCCUGUUUUCCCAGCAGCUCAGGAGGCUGAGGCAGGAGGAUGGCGAGUUCAACGCCAGCCUCCGCCAAAGCGAGGCCCUGAGCAACUCAGGGAGAUUCUGUGUCUCUGCACACGGAGGCCCAGAGUAGAUCUCUAGGUCCAGAGAAAGGAGUACG